rnacentral:SRP_RNA from 1 species
UCAUACUAACCGGGGAGUUAGCGGUGCCUUGUACCCACAAUCCGCUAUAGUGGGGGUGACCAUCUUUUGAGGGCUCGGCUUGUGUCGCCGCGCCGAAAACGCCUUGUUGAUAAGCGGGUCCUUGCGCAAUUCAUACCUGUGAAAUAUGUCAGGUGGGGAACCAAGCAGCAUUAAGCAGUUAUAUGGAUGUGCCGCAAGGGUGCCUGUUUUGAGAGGAAUUUUCGGUUCACGGAUGGAAGUCGUGUUCGAUUUAGACGUAUGG